rnacentral:rRNA from 1 species
AUUGAACGCUGGCGGCAGGCCUAACACAUGCAAGUCGAGCGGAUGAAGGGAGCUUGCUCCUGGAUUCAGCGGCGGACGGGUGAGUAAUGCCUAGGAAUCUGCCUGGUAGUGGGUGAUAACGUCCGGAAACGGGCGCUAAUACCGCAUACGUCCUGAGGGAGAAAGUGGGGGAUCUUCGGACCUCACGCUCUCAGAUGAGCCUAGGUCGGAUUAGCUAGUUGGUGGGGUAAAGGCCUACCAAGGCGACGAUCCGUAACUGGUCUGAGAGGAUGAUCAGUCACACUGGAACUGAGACACGGUCCAGACUCCUACGGGAGGCAGCAGUGGGGAAUAUUGGACAAUGGGCGAAAGCCUGAUCCAGCCAUGCCGCGUGUGUGAAGAAGGUCUUCGGAUUGUAAAGCACUUUAAGUUGGGAGGAAGGGCAGUAAGUUAAUACCUUGCUGUUUUGACGUUACCAACAGAAUAAGCACCGGCUAACUUCGUG